CCAUUUAUAUAAUAAUAUCAAAAUCACAAUGGACAACAUUUCAUUUCACAACCACUGGUAAAAACAGUCAAUCACGGCCACCCCUCAUACUACAGGUAUCAAUUGGCCAACAUCCUCCUCUUUCACAGUAUAAGAAUCAUAAAAUUCAUUUACAUAUGUCAUUCGGUCAUAUGCUUUCAAAAUAAUCUUUUUCCUCUUUAAAAACUUAUGAAUAUA
rnacentral:lncRNA from 1 species